CAGCCGCCACGGGAAUACGUAGGUGGCAAGCGUUGUCCGGAAUUAUUGGGCGUAAAGGGCUCGCAGGCGGUUUCUUAAGUCUGAUGUGAAAGCCCCCGGCUCGACCGGGGAGGGUCAUUGGAAACUGGGAAACUUGAGUGCAGAAGAGGAGAGUGGAAUUCCACGUGUAGCGGUGAAAUGCGUAGAGAUGUGGAGGAACACCAGUGGCGAAGGCGACUCUCUGGUCUGUAACUGACGCUGAGGAGCGAAAGCGUGGUGAGCGAACAGGAUUAGAGACCCCCGUAGUCCCUGUCUCUUAUAC
rnacentral:rRNA from 1 species